AAGGUAGCGUGAUAAUUCGCCCUUUAAUUGUGGGCUUGAACGAAUGGAUUAACGAGGGUCUAGCUGUCUCUAUUUUACUAGUAGAAAUUGAUUUUCAGGUGAAAAAACCUGAAUGUUUGUGUGUGACAAAAAGACCCCAUAGAGCUCAGUCUAAAUUAUAGUGAGUGGGGAAUUAAUUGUAAUUGUUAAAUUUUUUACUUAAUUUAAUAUGACUUAACUGGGGCGGUUGAGGAAGAGGAAAAUCUUCUUUUAAAUUAAAAACUAAUGGGUUGAUUAGAAGAAUAGAUCCUUUAUAAGAUCAAGAGAAAAGCUACCUUGGGGAUAACAGACUAAUUUUUUUUGAGAGUUCGUAUUGACAGAAAAGUUUGGCACAUCGAUGUUGGCUUAGGAUAUCCUAAAGGUAGUAGCAGUCUUUAAUGGUGGGUUUGUUCAACCUUUAAAAUCCUACAUGAUC
rnacentral:rRNA from 1 species